CCAACUGCCCGAGGCUCCGGCGAAGGCGCCGGCUACCCUCCCCUCCCAGCCCAGCACAGCGAGGUGCCUGGUCCGGCAGUGCCUGGCUGGCCCCACUGUCCCUCUUCCCCUGUUCUGCCUGGGGCUAGAAGGAGGGGGACUUGAGGCAAGAGGAGAAUGUUGGUUCCUGCAGGGCUCUGAGUGACCCACCUUGAGGAUGCGUGGUAGGAGGGGCUGCAGGAGUGUCUUUUGGGCUCAGGAGUUCAUCAGUGAAAGGUGGACAGUACUCCUUCUGAGUAGGCAUCAUGGACUCAGCUUCAGCAAGACUAAAGUCAUCUGCAUGGCAAGACCAUGGAGUAGGAGAAUUACCUGGGGCAUCUGAUUGGACCCUCUAAAAACUGUAUUUCAUGUACAGAAUUUUUUUUCAAAAUGUUCAUAUAUCUUCUCACCACAGGGCCUUUGGACAUGCCGUUCCCUGUCUCUGGGAUGCCCCUCACCUUUUGAAAUUGUUUGGCUCCCAUUUACUGUGCAUUACUGUAGACACAAAAAUAAAUAAGACAAAGGUCUUUAUGUUAAAGAA